CUUCCAGGAAAAGCCUCUAAGCUUCAGAUAGUCAGGAAUCGUACCCCAAACCGACACAGGUGGUCGGGUAGAGAAUACCAAGGCGCUUGAGAGAACUCGGGUGAAGGAACUAGGCAAAAUGGUACCGUAACUUCGGGAGAAGGUACGCUCUUGAUGGUGAAGUCCCUCGCGGAUGGAGCUGACGAGAGUCGCAGAUACCAGGUGGCUGCAACUGUUUAUUAAAAACACAGCACUGUGCAAAAUCGCAAGAUGACGUAUACGGUGUGACGCCUGCCCGGUGCCGGAAGGUUAAUUGAUGGGGUUAGCGUAAGCGAAGCUCUUGAUCGAAGCCCCGGUAAACGGCGGCCGUAACUAUAACGGUCCUAAGGUAGCGAAAUUCCUUGUCGGGUAAGUUCCGACCUGCACGAAUGGCGUAAUGAUGGCCACGCUGUCUCCACCCGAGACUCAGUGAAAUUGAAAUCGCUGUGAAGAUGCAGUGUACCCGCGGCUAGACGGAAAGACCCCGUGAACCUUUACUACAGCUUGGCACUGAACAUUGAACCUACAUGUGUAGGAUAGGUGGGAGGCUAUGAAGACGUGACGCCAGUUGCGUUGGAGCCGUCCUUGAAAUACCACCCUUGUAUGUUUGAUGUUCUAACUUAGACCCAUUAUCUGGGUUGAGGACAGUGCCUGGUGGGUAGUUUGACUGGGGCGGUCUCCUCCCAAAGAGUAACGGAGGAGCACGAAGGUGGGCUAAUCACGGUUGGACAUCGUGAGGUUAGUGCAAUGGCAUAAGCCCGCUUAACUGCGAGAAUGACGGUUCGAGCAGGUGCGAAAGCAGGUCAUAGUGAUCCGGUGGUUCUGUAUGGAAGGGCCAUCGCUCAACGGAUAAAAGGUACUCCGGGGAUAACAGGCUGAUACCGCCCAAGAGUUCAUAUCGACGGCGGUGUUUGGCACCUCGAUGUCGGCUCAUCACAUCCUGGGGCUGAAGUCGGUCCCAAGGGUAUGGCUGUUCGCCAUUUAAAGUGGUACGCGAGCUGGGUUUAGAACGUCGUGAGACAGUUCGGUCCCUAUCUGCCGUGGGCGUUGGAAGAUUGAAGGGGGCUGCUCCUAGUACGAGAGGACCGGAGUGGACGAACCUCUGGUGUUCGGGUUGUGUCGCCAGACGCAUUGCCCGGUAGCUAAGUUCGGAAUUGAUAAGCGCUGAAAGCAUCUAAGCGCGAAGCGAGCCCUGAGAUGAGUCUUCCCUGAUACUUUAAGUAUCCUAAAGGGUUGUUCGAGACUAGAACGUUGAUAGGCAGGGUGUGUAAGCGUUGUGAGGCGUUGAGCUAACCUGUACUAAUUGCCCGUGAGGCUUAACCAUACAACACCCAAGG
rnacentral:rRNA from 1 species